rnacentral:rRNA from 1 species
UUGAGCUUGAUCCUGGCUCAGGAUGAACGCUAGCGGCAGGCUUAACACAUGCAAGUCGAGGGGUAUAGUUCUUCGGAACAAGAGACCGGCGCACGGGUGCGUAACGCGUAUGCAAUCUACCUUUUGCAGAGGGAUAGCCCAGAGAAAUUUGGAUUAAUACCUCAUAGUAUAGCAGUUUCGCAUGAAACCACUAUUAAAGUCACAACGGCAAAAGAUGAGCAUGCGUCCCAUUAGCUAGUUGGUAAGGUAACGGCUUACCAAGGCUACGAUGGGUAGGGGUCCUGAGAGGGAGAUCCCCCACACUGGUACUGAGACACGGACCAGACUCCUACGGGAGGCAGCAGUGAGGAAUAUUGGACAAUGGGCGCAAGCCUGAUCCAGCCAUGCCGCGUGCAGGAUGACGGUCCUAUGGAUUGUAAACUGCUUUUGUACAGGAAGAAACACUCCCUCGUGAGGGAGCUUGACGGUACUGUAAGAAUAAGG